rnacentral:lncRNA from 1 species
GCAACACGGCCUCCAGGUCUUUGGGGAAAACAAGUUCAGUGAAGUAGUCUGGGUUGAAGAAGCAUCUUGCAGUCUACUGAGUAUGCAGAGCUGAGGAAUAGAUGGACUCCAAGAAUCUAAACCACUUUUCAAUAAAUGUCUGCUGUCUCAGUUAGUAGAAGUCUGCUUCCAACUUCUCCCCUUGUGUUUUCAACAACUUCCUGUCUUCAGGUAUCUUGGCUGGGAUGCAAAGGAGUGCUGAGAACUCAACAGCCUGACCAAUGAUUAGGAAUAAUUGGAAGCAGGUGGAGCUGAGGCCAGCUCACCCAACCUGGCCU